UACAGAGGGUGCUAGCGUUAAUCGGAAUUACUGGGCGUAAAGCGUGUGUAGGUGGUUAGAUAAGUUAGAUGUGAAAUCCCCGGGCUUAACCUGGGCAUUGCGUUUAAGACUGUUUUAGCUUGAGUACUGUAGAGGAUAGUGGAAUUUCCAGUGUAGCGGUGAAAUGCGUAGAUAUUGGAAGGAACACCAGUGGCGAAGGCGACUAUCUGGACAGAUACUGACACUGAGACACGAAAGCGUGGGGAGCAAACAGG
rnacentral:rRNA from 1 species